rnacentral:ncRNA from 1 species
GAUCGGGAGAAUCCAGCAGGAAACUUCUGGUGCCGAAGGAGCAAACGCCCCGUUAAACUCUCAGGCCAAAGGACCGUUCU